ACGAACGCUGGCGGCGUGCUUAACACAUGCAAGUCGAACGAUGAAGCCUUUCGGGGUGGAUUAGUGGCGAACGGGUGAGUAACACGUGGGCAAUCUGCCCUUCACUUUGGGACAAGCCCUGGAAACGGGGUCUAAUACCGGAUAAUAUUCCUGCCUGCAUGGGUGGGGGUUAAAAGCUCCGGCGGUGAAGGAUGAGCCCGCGGCCUAUCAGCUUGUUGGUGAGGUAGUGGCUCACCAAGGGGACGACGGGUAGCCG
rnacentral:rRNA from 1 species